rnacentral:rRNA from 1 species
UACGGGGGGGGCAAGCGUUGUUCGGAAUUACUGGGCGUAAAGGGCUCGUAGGCGGCCAACUAAGUCAGACGUGAAAUCCCUCGGCUUAACCGGGGAACUGCGUCUGAUACUGGAUGGCUUGAGUUUGGGAGAGGGAUGCGGAAUUCCAGGUGUAGCGGUGAAAUGCGUAGAGAUCGGGAAGAACAUCGGUGGCGAAAGCGCUCUACUGGACCGCAACUGACACUCAGGGACGAAAGCUAGGGGAGCGAAUGGG